rnacentral:rRNA from 1 species
UACAGAGGUCUCAAGCGUUGUUCGGAUUCAUUGGGCGUAAAGGGUGCGUAGGUGGCGCCGUAAGUCAGGUGUGAAAUUUCGGAGCUUAACUCCGAAACUGCAUUUGAUACUGCGGUGCUUGAGGACUGGAGAGGAGACUGGAAUUUACGGUGUAGCGGUGAAAUGCGUAGAUAUCGUAAGGAAGACCAGUGGCGAAGGCGGGUCUCUGGACAGUUCCUGACGCUGAGGCACGAAGGCCAGGGGAGCAAACGGG